rnacentral:tRNA from 2 species
GAGCCGCUAGCUCAUCGGGUAGAGCAUCUGCCUUUUAAGCAGAAUGUGCUGGGUUCGAGUCCCAGGCGGCUCA